rnacentral:rRNA from 1 species
AGUGAACGCUGGCGGUAGGCCUAACACAUGCAAGUCGAACGGCAGCACAGUAAGAGCUUGCUCUUACGGGUGGCGAGUGGCGGACGGGUGAGGAAUACAUCGGAAUCUACUUUUUCGUGGGGGAUAACGUAGGGAAACUUACGCUAAUACCGCAUACGACCUACGGUUGAAAGCAGGGGAUCUUCGGACCUUGCGCGAUUGAAUGAGCCGAUGUCGGAUUAGCUAGUUGGCGGGGUAAAGGCCCACCAAGGCAAGGAUCCGUAGAUGGUCUGAGAGGAUGACAAGCCACACUGGAAUGGAGACACGGCCCAGCCUCCAACGGGAGGCGGCGGAGGGGAAUAUUGGACAAGGGGCGGAGGCCUGACCCGGCCAUACCGCGUAGGUGAAGAAGGCCUUCGGGUUGUAAAGCCCUUUUGUUGGGAAAGAAAAGCAGCAGGUUAAUACCCCGCUGUUCUGACGGUACCCAAAGAAUAAGCACCGGCUAACUUCGUG